rnacentral:rRNA from 1 species
CGACCCCAGGUCAGACGAGACUACCCGCUGAGUUUAAGCAUAUAAAUAAGCGGAGGAGAAGAAACUUACAAGGAUUCCCCUA